AGUGAACGCUGGCGGUAGGCCUAACACAUGCAAGUCGAACGGCAGCACAGUAAGAGCUUGCUCUUACGGGUGGCGAGUGGCGGACGGGUGAGGAAUACAUCAGAAUCUACUUUUUCGUGGGGGAUAACGUAGGGAAGCUUACGCUAAUACCGCAUACGACCUACGGGUGAAAGCAGGGGAUCUUCGGACCUUGCGCGAUUGAAUGAGCCGAUGUCGGAUUAGCUAGUUGGCGGGGUAAAGGCCCACCAAGGCGACGAUCCGUAGCUGGUCUGAGAGGAUGAUCAGCCACACUGGAACUGAGACACGGUCCAGACUCCUACGGGAGGCAGCAGUGGGGAAUAUUGGACAAUGGGCGCAAGCCUGAUCCAGCCAUACCGCGUGGGUGAAGAAGGCCUUCGGGUUGUAAAGCCCUUUUGUUGGGAAAGAAAAGCAGCAGGUUAAUACCCCGCUGUUCUGACGGUACCCAAAGAAUAAGCACCGGCUAACUUCGUG
rnacentral:rRNA from 1 species